UUCACAGCCCUGGACACUGAAGUCCUUUCUGAAUCCACAGAACAGAUGCAACUUACGCAGCGAAGAAUAACCUGCCCAAUGUUCCUCAUGCUUUGAGAGCUGAGAGGGUAUGUUAUUUUCCAUACCAAGUCCAUCCCUUGGCAUCU
rnacentral:sRNA from 1 species